rnacentral:lncRNA from 1 species
AGAAAGCAAAAGGGAUGCCGGUGGUGGCAGAUGCUUCCUCCUGGCCAAAUCCCAAAUCCCACCCUCAGCACCCACACCCUGAGCAGUGGGCAGGAGAGGCCUGAAAGCGUCUGUAUAAAUGGCUUCUGAGAAGCCCUGGUGAUAAAGGAGCUAGAGGCAGCCACACAUGGUUCCCAGAAGCUGAAUGCUGUGCAGACGACAGGAAUGACUUCACCCAUCCUGCUUCCACCCGCCAUAGCAGUGACCAAAGCAGCUCUGGGAGCACAGCUGAGCACCUCAGAAGAUAAGUCCCGGGGUGAUUCUUGUCAUCUCCAUGAAAAGGAGAGGACAAAAAGGCAGAGGCUGCUGCUUGAGGAUCCCUUCACCUGGGCUGCAUAGCUUCACCCAUGCUGACCAACUUCCCCGUUUCAAGUUUCAGACUCGCAGCCGCGCUAGUUAGGGUACAACUUGUUCAGACAGCUGUUUUCAUUCACAUCUCCAAAGGUCCUCUACCUUGGAAGAAGAAAGAAAGAGGGAAAGAGAAAUAAAAGAGAUUAAGAACACUGGGGCCAGGCGCAGUGGCUCACACCUAUAAUCCCAGCACUUUGGGAGGCUGAGGCAGGCAGAUCACCUGAGGUCAGGAGUUGGAGACCAGCCUGGCCAACAUGACAAAACCCCAUCUCUACUAAAAAUACAAAACUUAGCCAGGCAUGGUGGUGGAUACCUGUAAUCCCAGUUACUUUGGAGGCUGAGGCAGGAGGAUGGCUUGAACCUGGGAGGCAGAGGUUGCAGUGAGCCGAGAUCAUGCCAUUGCACUCCAGCCUGAGUGACAAGAGACUCUGUCUCAAAAAUAAAAACAAAAAACAAAAAAAAAAAA